GAUGAACGCUGGCGGCGUGCCUAAUACAUGCAAGUCGAGCGAAUGGAUUAAGAGCUUGCUCUUAUGAAGUUAGCGGCGGACGGGUGAGUAACACGUGGGUAACCUGCCCAUAAGACUGGGAUAACUCCGGGAAACCGGGGCUAAUACCGGAUAACAUUUUGAACCGCAUGGUUCGAAAUCGAAAGGCGGCUUCGGCUGUCACUUAUGGAUGGACCCGUGUCGCAUUAGCUAGUUGGUGAGGUAACGGCUCAUCAAGGCAACGAUGCGUAGCCGACCGGAGAGGGUGAUCGGCCACACUGGGACUGAGACACGGCCCAGACUCCGACGGGAGGCAGCAGUAGGGAAUCUUCCGCAAUGGACGAAAGUCUGACGGAGCAACGCCGCGUGAGUGAUGAAGGCUUUCGGGUCGUAAAACUCUGUUGUUAGGGAAGAACAAGUGCUAGUUGAAUAAGCUGGCACCUUGACGGUACCUAACCAGAAAGCCACGGCUAACUACGUGCCAGCCGCCGCAGUAA
rnacentral:rRNA from 1 species